rnacentral:piRNA from 1 species
UGCCCAAUGAUGCAACUGAAG